UACAGAGGGCGCGAGCGUUGUCCGGAAUCACUGGGCGUAAAGGGCGCGUAGGCGGUCUGCUAAGUUGGAUGUGAAAACUCUGGGCUUAACCCAGAGCCUGCAUUCAAUACUGACAGGCUAGAGUUCUGGAGGGGAUAGCGGAAUUCCUGGUGUAGCGGUGAAAUGCGUAGAUAUCAGGAGGAACACCGGUGGCGAAGGCGGCUAUCUGGACAGAGUCUGACGCUGAGGCGCGAAAGCUAGGGGAGCAAACAGG
rnacentral:rRNA from 1 species